rnacentral:rRNA from 1 species
CGGUUGAUCCUGCCGGAGGGCAUUGCUAUUGGGGUUCGACUUAGGAAUGCUAGUCUACCGAUGUUCCAUUAGGAACAUAGGGGCGAACAGCUCAGUAACACGUAGCCAACCUGCCCUCGCGUGGGGAAUAACCUCGGGAAACUGAGGCUAAUGCGCCAUAGGUGGGGAAGUCUGGAAUGACUCCUCGCUGAAAGCUCCGGCGCGCGAGGAUGGGACUGCGGCCGAUUAGGUAGUAGGUAGUGUAAAGGACCACCUAGCCUUCGAUCGGUACGGGCCGUGGGAGCGGGAACCCGGAGACGGGUACUGAGACAAGGACCUGGGCCCUAAGGGGCGCAGCAUUCGCGAAAACUCCGCAAUGCGCGAAAGCGUGACGGGGGAACCCCAAGUGCCAGCACAAUGUGUUGGCUUUUCUGGAGUGUAAAAAGCUCCAAGAAUAAGGGCUGGGCAAGACCGGUGCCAGCCGCCGCGGUAACACCGGCAGCCCGAGUGAUGUCCGUUUUUAUUGGGCUUAAAGCGUUCGUAGCCGGCCUGUUAAGUCCCCGGUCAAAUCCGACGGCUCAACCGUCGGCUAUCUGGGGAUACUGGCAGGCUUGAGGCCGGGAGAGGUCAGAGGUACUCCUGGGGUGGGGGUAAAAUCCUAUAAUCCUGGGGGGACCACCAGUGGCGAAGGCGUCUGACUGGAACGGGCCUGACGGUGAGGGACGAAACCCUGGGGAGCGAUCCGGAUUAGAUACCCGGGUAGUCCAGGGCGUAAACGAUGUGGGCUGGGUGUGGGCUAAUCANAAAGGANUAGUCUGUGCCNAAGCGAAAGCGAUAAGCCCACUGCCUGGGAAGUACGGUCGCANGGNUGAAACUUAAAGGNAUUGGCGGGGGANCAC